CUUUCCACGGAAAGAGAAUAGGUGGGUAUUCUCUCUGAAGACAAAUGGUGGAGAGUAGACUCUCAUCAAAGACCCUCUGGCAGUAAUAAGUUGCAUUCCAGAAGGUUCCAGAAGGUUCUGUGGAAGGCUGCAGUUUGGGAUUGGUUCUCAGAUGUCUGUCUAACUGCUUUCUAAGGAUGAGGACUCCUGGUUUGUGCUUUAGCUACACCCACAGGAGCAACAGACUAAGACAUUCCUCCACACAAUAACAGAACCAGGGAGUGCAGACCAUGUGGGUCUUACCUGGCCUGUUGUCCACCGUCUGGUUUUAUCUUAGACCGAGCCUGCUGCAAUCCAUGUUGUGUAUUGGCACUCCACUUAAGUUUCCUGUUUGUAAAAAGCCCCUUUCAUUCGGUGAUUCCUCAGGGCUUUAGGGGAACUUUCUGGAAACCAGGCAGAAGGAAAUAAUGGUGGUUUUGCUGAGGAUGGGUGACGUUGGGCACGGGACCCAAAUGAGUGGUUUGAGCAGAAAGUAGCCUCCACGCUGGACUAAUGCAAUAGUCCUGCCAUGAUUUCAUUGCAGGGCUGUGACCGUCUACGACAAGCUGGCAUCUUUCUUUAAAGAGGCACCUCUGGACCUGCAGCACCGGCUCCUCAUGAAGGUGGGCAGCACGCACUCUCUGUUCAGGGCCUGAACCUGAGGACCCAGCCAUGGAGCGGUCAGCCUUCAUGGAGCAGGAUGCUGGGAGCGGGCUGGUGAUGCGUCUCCAUGAGCGGCCAGCCCUGCUGGUCAGCAGCACACCUGGACAGGUCUGCACGACCCCUGGGGCACUUGGGGCUGGUGUGACGGGCACCUGGCCAACCUGUGUUCUCCUUACCCCUACCAGUCCUGGAUGCCCCCACCCCGCCACGGUCUCAAUGAGAAGGGGAGGGUGUGUGAGCUGGAAGAGUGCUGUCUAGAAACAGGCCCCUGACAUUCAAUUCUCUUCUCAUAGAGGACGAAGACUUCUCUAUCCUGCUGGCAGCUUUAGAAAGUAGGUGUGUGGCUGCGGUGAGGAGCUCUGGGCUUGUCCGGGCCACUGAGCUGUGAGCUGCUUGCCUGGCCUGCAACAUGUUCCUGUCCUGGGCUACUGGGUGGGGCAGCCUGGGGACAGUAGGGGUGGUGGAGGUGGGCCUCCCUGAAUCCCCAUUUGGGUCAUUGAGUGACCAGGCCCUUAGGCUGAAAUGCGCCCUCCAGGAGAGUAUCUCACAGAGGCUGGGGGCCUCCCUGCCAGAGCAGUGCACUUUCUCCACCUGACCAGGGGACUCUGGCUAUUGUUUAUUUAAAAAUUUUUUUCUGAAUGGGCAUGGUGGCUCACACCUGUAAUCCUAGAACUCUGGGAGGCCGAGGCAGGCAGAUCACCUGAGGUCCGGAGUUCGAGACCAACCUGGCCAACAGGGCGAAAAGUGUCUCUACUAAAAAUACAAAACUUAGCUAGGUAUGGUGGUGGGCACCUGUAAUCCCAGCUACUUGGGAGGCUGACGCACUAGAAUUACUUCAACCUGGGAGGCAGAGGUUGCAGUGAGCUGAGAUCACGCCAUUGCAUUCCAGCCUGGGUGACAGAGCGAGAGUCUGUCAGGAAAAA
rnacentral:lncRNA from 10 species